ACGCUCGACACCUACGGGAGGCAGCAGUGGGGAAUAUUGCACAAUGGGGGAAACCCUGAUGCAGCGAUGCCGCGUGAAGGAAGAAGUAUCUCGGUAUGUAAACUUCUAUCAGCAGGGAAGAAAAUGACGGUACCUGACUAAGAAGCCCCGGCUAACUACGUGCUAGCAGCCGCGGUAAUCUGAGCGGGCUGGCAAGGC
rnacentral:rRNA from 1 species